CUUCACUUGGAUUGGUCGGAGAGAUUAGACGGGAGAGAAAGCUCACAGAACUUCCGGUGAUCUGAAGAGAUUUCAAAUCCUCCUCCGAUUAAAGAUAGAUGGAAGAGACUCUGUCUGGGGAAGAAGACGGCUUUCUUUGAUCGUCAAGGGUUUUCUGCCAUCGGAGCAAAGUCUGGAUCGAUUUCAGCCGGUUAGUGGGUAAACCGGUAUCGAGAAUUAGUGGAACGUCUCGGUUUUGGGUACAGAAUAAAAUCUUCUAUCAGAUUCCUACAUAUUAGAAUUAGAAAACCGAAAAAUGCA